rnacentral:rRNA from 1 species
CACGUAGGGCGCAAGCGUUGUCCGGAAUUAUUGGGCGUAAAGAGCUCGUAGGCGGCUUGUCACGUCGAUUGUGAAAGCCCGAGGCUUAACCUCGGGUCUGCAGUCGAUACGGGCUAGCUAGAGUGUGGUAGGGGAGAUCGGAAUUCCUGGUGUAGCGGUGAAAUGCGCAGAUAUCAGGAGGAACACCGGUGGCGAAGGCGGAUCUCUGGGCCAUUACUGACGCUGAGGAGCGAAAGCGUGGGGAGCGAACAGG